AAAUGAGAAUUCUAUCGGGAAAACUUUGCCUUAGAACCAGAAAUAAUUAUAGAUCAAGAAUCCAAACAAUUUUUUUCCAAACGGAAGAGAAGAUAGACAUCAAAUAUUUUAUACAUCUAUCCUACAAGCACGGACCAAUGGCUUCAUUCCCUAACCCAACCUGGGAGAUAAAACAUCUCAACUCACCGGUUCCAACCAGGUAAAUACCCUUGGAUCAAGUCUCUGCAACAUCUCAGCUGUUUGAUGACCUAUUCAACAUCAGGGUAAAAGAAUGCAAGGCAUGUUAUUAAAGAACAAAACAAAACCAAAACAAAUACACACUCAAAAGAAUACAACCCCGUGACCGUGAGGCCUAUAAACUCAUAGUCCCAGCCUUUAGAUCCACAAGAUCAAUGCUUUAUAUAAAAUCCUUAUAACAGUGACCUUAGAUUUAAGCCACACAGGCUGUGACAAAGCAUUACUUCAUCAGAAUUCCAAGUUACCUAAGCCAAUUGGGAGUUUGAAAUUAAAGUAUGCCAAUUUUAGAAUUGCACCACAAAAAUCAAGCUUCUUGCAGUAAUCAUAUCAACAAGACAACAGGUUUCCGAAUUGAUAAUCUACCAAAAGAAGAGGGCAAAAUCACAAACCCAAUUUCACAUUCUAAAAACCUAGACUUUACAGAAAUUACGAAGCUAAAACCCUAACAAUCCACAUUUUAAAUAAAACGACCAGCAUCAAAAGCAGAGAAUUAGUGGAAAGCCCAAGGCAACACAACAAAAUUGAGAACAGAACCCAAAUUACACAAUCGGAAUAAAAAUAGCUCCAGUAAAGCAAAUCGUACCAUUUCCAAAGAACUCAUAGGAGCUUGAAAGAAGUGAAGCCAUGGGGGGAGUAAAUAUCCAAAUAGAUCCAGUUUGGCAAACCCUAAUAAGUGAGAAAGAGAGAGAGACAGAUUUAAAGAGAGCUUAGGAGAAAGCGAAAGCGCACAGAUAUCUAUAAAAGAGAGAGACUUGUUGCCGUUACGCGAGUCCAAGCCAAAGGUCUCUCUUUGUUUUUG
rnacentral:lncRNA from 1 species